rnacentral:rRNA from 1 species
AGCGAACGCUGGCGGCAGGCCUAACACAUGCAAGUCGAACGAAGUCCUCGGGGUUAGUGGCGGACGGGUGAGUAACACGUGGGAACGUGCCUUUAGGUUCGGAAUAACUCAGGGAAACUUGUGCUAAUACCGAAUGUGCCCUUCGGGGGAAAGAUUUAUCGCCUUUAGAGCGGCCCGCGUCUGAUUAGCUAGUUGGUGAGGUAAUGGCUCACCAAGGCUACGAUCAGUAGCUGGUCUGAGAGGAUGACCAGCCACAUUGGGACUGAGACACGGCCCAAACUCCUACGGGAGGCAGCAGUGGGGAAUCUUGCGCAAUGGGCGAAAGCCUGACGCAGCCAUGCCGCGUGGAUGAUGAAGGUCUUAGGAUUGUAAAAUCCUUUCACCGGUGAAGAUAAUGACUGUAGCCGGAGAAGAAGCCCCGGCUAACUUCGUGCCAGCCGCCGCGGUAACAC